rnacentral:lncRNA from 1 species
AUUUGCCCUGAGCUAACAUCUGUGCCAAUCCUCCUGCAUUUUGCAUGUGGGAUGCUACCACAGCAUAGCCUGAUGAGCAGUGCAUAGGUCCAUGCCCAGGAUCUGAACCCACGAACCCUGGACAACCAAAGUGGAGUGCAUGAACCCAACCACUACGCCACUGGGCCACCCCUGAAGAAACUGAUUCUCAGAGGCAUUGUAUAGAGUGCCCUAGAUCUCACCACUAGUAAAUGGAAGAAGUGGGGCUCCACCCGAAAUCUGUCUGAUUCAAAAACUCAACUCUGCCACAAUCCGGUCUUAAUAACGCAGCGUGGAUCAUGAAAACGGAAUAGAUUUGCAAAGGACAACUUACCGUGACACUUUUCUCCUGCCUUAAGUGAUCAAAAUAUUUCCAACUCAGAAUAGAGAAAGGAGAUGUCUAUGCUGUGUCUAACACUAAAUACAGACAUAUUUAUAAAACUGUCAAUGGGAAGGGGUCCUUGAAUCUGAUGACCCAUAGUCAUUAGUCAGACCCUUAAAAUUUGCAAAGAAAACAAGUGCACAGAUUCCCAUUAAUGAGUGCGUUCUGUAGGAAGACAUGAAAGAAUGUGAGAUAGCAUUUAUAUCUCAGACUCUGUGGACUAUAUACUGAAACUGGCAAGGGCUCUACGCUUUACAGAAAUCUGAUGAGCUGGGUAGUAUCAGUUGGGGCAGCAAAGUGAGAAGAGACCCAGAUUUUCUCUGUUCAUAUAACCGUUCACUCUUUCCAGCUAAGAAGAUUUGACUGGGCGGGUUUGUUCCACUCAAUCAGCAGUGCCUUAUUGUGUAGAGUGAAACCCAGGGUCUCUGUUCUUUUACAUGGCAGCCUUUGACCGCAGCAAAUUAAUUUCCAGUUUGCAAUCAGUUACAGGUAUAGUAAUAGGAUUGGCUUCAUUAAAAAAAACAAAAGAUAACAUGAACAAUGAUUUCUAGGGAGGAAUUAAUCACUUGUUUUUUUCAAAGAGCACUGUGUAUGUGUGACCAACAUGGACUCAGGAACUUUGCAGAUUUCUCCUGCAACCUAUAGCACCAUACAAAGAUCUCUCUCAUUUCUUAAUUUAAUAAUAACAGUAAUAAUUAUAACUAAAGGUACUCAUUCUACCCCAG